GACGAACGCUGGCGGCGUGCUUAACACAUGCAAGUCGAACGGAAAGGCCCUGCUUUUGUGGGGUGCUCGAGUGGCGAACGGGUGAGUAACACGUGAGUAACCUGCCCUUGACUUUGGGAUAACUUCAGGAAACUGGGGGUAAUACCGGAUAGGAGCUCCUGCUGCAUGGUGGGGGUUGGAAAGUUUCGGCGGUUGGGGAUGGACUCGCGGCUUAUCAGCUUGUUGGUGGGGCAGUGGCUUACCAAGGCUUUGACGGGUAGCCGGCCUGAGAGGGUGACAGGCCACAUUGGGACUGAGAUACGGCCCAGACUCCUACGGGAGGCAGCAGUGGGGAAUAUUGCACAAUGGGCGGAAGCCUGAUGCAGCAACGCCGCGUGCGGGAUGACGGCCUUCGGGUUGUAAACCGCUUUCGCCUGUGACGAAGCGUGAGUGACGGUAAUGGGUAAAGAAGCACCGGCUAACUACGUG
rnacentral:rRNA from 1 species